UACAGGGUGGAGCAGUCUGGAAGCUCGUCUGGCUCAUAACCAGAAGGUCACGGGUUCAAAUCCCGUCCCUGCAA
rnacentral:tRNA from 1 species